AGUGAAGUCACUUCCUGCUAAAGAUGCAAGGUAGUCUCUUCCUGUCGGGAUCUGUACUGAUGUCAAGUGGCAUGUGCAGGAGAAGUCCCCCGUCUGGCCUCUUGGCUCCAAAUUGGGUAAACUCAUAGACAACUUUGAAAGCCUUGCUCAAGUUUUCCCUCUGGGAUUCACCAAUGAUUCACCAUCUGAAUUAGAUCCCCCACCUCUGUGCUCCAGAGAACUUCAUGUGUGCUGCCAGAAGAAACAAUAAACUGUCUCUUUACAGUCCAUCAUGCUCCUGUGCUUUUGCAGGUAUGUGACUUAGAUUCUGACUAAUCAGACAGAUCUGCCUGAAAAUUGGAUUCAGAAGUGAGCAAAAUGAAGAGGAGCCUAAGUACAGUGGACCCGACAUCUGGCAAACACACGGUAGAAAGAGCCAGCUCUGCGAUGGUGAGAGUGCAGAGCAUCUGGUGUCCAGUCCUGAGAAUUCCCAGUGCCAAGGAGCAGUGGUGCCUCGCUAAAGCCUCCCCACAGCCCCAGGCUCUGCAUCCUGCAUGGGUACCUAAUAUCCUUUUAUAAAAUCCCUUUUCUGUUUAAGCCAGCCAGCAUGGAUUA